GACGUAGGGCGCGAGCGUUGUUCGGAUUUACUGGGCGUAAAGGGCGCGUAGGCGGCCAGCACAAGUCAGUUGUGAAAUCUCCGAGCUUAACUCGGAAAGGUCAACUGAUACUGUGCGGCUAGAGUGCGGAAGGGGCAACUGGAAUUCUUGGUGUAGCGGUGAAAUGCGUAGAUAUCAAGAGGAACACCUGCGGCGAAGGCGGGUUGCUGGGCUGACACUGACGCUGAGGCGCGAAAGCCAGGGGAGCAAACGGG
rnacentral:rRNA from 1 species